rnacentral:lncRNA from 1 species
UAGUGGCUCUGGCCAUUCUCUAGGGGCAUUGUCGACGGAAAAUCCCCGAAAUAAUCUCCCGUCGGGUAUAAAUCGGUAGAAUAUAACCAGGCCGCAGUGCUUUAACGGAAUUGCAGCCUAUUCGCCUGACACGGCCCGGCGAUGUUUUUAAUUGAAUUGGCUCGCGCUUGAUCACGGUGUACAAGGUUGACGUUUUUAAUUCGAACCCCUUUGAACAUCAACUGAAUAACAAUGCCAUGUAUCCUUCAAUAAUAACAAGCCCUUCGAGAAAAGAAGCUACAACGCUGAUAAGUUCUGCACCUUUUGGAAGUACAAAAAUCCACAUUAUCAACGAGCAUUCACAAAAGAAGACAUGUGAAAGUAAGGAAACAAUAAAAAUCACACUCCAAUCCAUAAACCUCAUGUCUUUACAAAAAAUACAAUAAAACGCAACAUAGAAAGCUGAAAAAGAACCUCAACAGUAUUAUUGUCGGAUUACUCAGGACUGAUUGGGGUAUUUGCAUUUUCUUUGAAGACCGAUGAGAUUUAAACGAAACUAUUAACAGAUUGUCAAAACAAUCUAUUCUCGAUCAAUAACUGUACAAUAAAAUCAUUGGGCAAAUUUAUAGAAGGUAUCAUUUAGAUUUCAUUAAAGGGUUACGAUCUGAGGCCGAUUGGAUGUCGUAAAAGGAAUUUGUGAGAUGAUCGGGUCUUCCAGUGAUUGCUGAACAAUUUUUGCCCUGGUUGGACGUGCAGUGUCAUCAGUUAUAAGAAUUGGAACUAUAAGAAUGAAAAAGUGAAAGUAAACAGCUGGUGGCUAUCGAGACUCGUUGUAGUACAAAACGGCUUGCAAUUUGUUUUUUUCUUUAAGUUUCUGGCCAUUUAUGGCUUUAGAACUUUGGAAUUAAUAUAAGUGAGGAUUGUGCUUUUAAACUCUCUGUAUAUUCUGAGGAUCCUAGUUCAAAAGUAGGGGAAAAACAGCAAGAAACGGAUUGUGAGGUUAGCACUUUAAAUGAACACGAUCUAACAGUUGAAUAUCGCAAAGUUUAUAGGAGAAAGCGACCUGAUCCACAAAUCGCUAACAAAGACCCGAGGAAAUAGGCGCGUAACGAAACUGCUACUUAUUCCGAAACACAUACAAUGAAAAAAGUUUAUGACAUCACGACACUAUAAUACACAAUAAGAAAGAUUGAAAAACCUUUUAACCCGAGCAAAUUCAUGCAAUGCACACGGUGUCAAGACGUCGGGCACACCAAAACCUAUUGUAGAUUUCAACAUCGCUGUGUUCGAACUUGGAUCUUGCGGAAAAAUCAGAGAUUUUAAAGCGACAUGUGCAAACUGCGGAAGUGAUCACCCUGCAAACUACAUAAGGUUCAAUGCCUUCAAAACUUACAAACAGCAUGCACAAAGAACAGGGAACAAUAGUACAACAUCGAACCUACCCCAGAUAGAUGUCAUCAAUUUUUUGUCGCUUUCUUACAAGAAGAGCGAAGCCCUACCAUCACCAACAUGGGUAAAUUCUCAGACAAGAACAACAGUCAACAGGUUGAAGAAGAUGAAGUGGUGUGAAACAGGUCACUUUGAAGGGAGUAAUCGCCAGAUUCGAUCCUGACUGGACGGUUCGGAAGCCUCCUGCUGGAACCAGACGUCAGCUGGUACUCCGCCACCCAGGGUUUCUCGUCUUCGGCCGAAAAUACAGUAUCCGUAUCGGAAAUGCAAGAACUUAUUAUAGACAUCGACCUCGAAGACGGGA